rnacentral:lncRNA from 1 species
AUAAGUUUUUUAAGAAGGAUCGGAGAGCGAGCUUCAUGCUUCGGGGUAGGGAAAAAAGACAGAGAAUUGGGGGUUUUUUUUUCUUCAUAGGAUUUUGGGAAGACUGAGGCAAUCGUUGCUGAAGUCAGUGUUGUACUGGUGAAUCGGGAUUUUAAUGAAGUGGGUGUGAUUAUUCUUGACUGUUUUGUGAAAUCGAGUUAAGUCUGUGAUGAAGAAUUAAAAGGGUGUCUAUAGGAUUGAGUAUGCAGAGUGAAUGAAAUUUUUUGGGUUAAUCUAACGAGACAGUCA